GAUGAACGCUGGCGGCGUGCCUAAUACAUGCAAGUCGAGCGAACAGACGAGGAGCUUGCUCCUCUGAUGUUAGCGGCGGACGGGUGAGUAACACGUGGAUAACCUACCUAUAAGACUGGGAUAACUUCGGGAAACCGGAGCUAAUACCGGAUAAUAUAUUGAACCGCAUGGUUCAAUAGUGAAAGACGGUUUUGCUGUCACUUAUAGAUGGAUCCGCGCCGCAUUAGCUAGUUGGUAAGGUAACGGCUUACCAAGGCAACGAUGCGUAGCCGACCUGAGAGGGUGAUCGGCCACACUGGAACUGAGACACGGUCCAGACUCCUACGGGAGGCAGCAGUAGGGAAUCUUCCGCAAUGGGCGAAAGACUGACGGAGCAACGCCGCGUGAGUGAUGAAGGUCUUCGGAUCGUAAAACUCUGUUAUUAGGGAAGAACAAAUGUGUAAGUAACUAUGCACGUCUUGACGGUACCUAAUCAGAAAGCCACGGCUAACUACGUG
rnacentral:rRNA from 1 species